UAACAGCUCAAAUUUGAAAUCUGGCUCCCUCGGAGUCCGAGUUGUAAUUUGUAGAAGAUGCUUUGGGUUGUGGGUUCGGCCUAAGUUCCUUGGAACAGGACGUCAUAGAGGGUGAGAAUCCCGUAUGUGGCCCGAGGCCUGCGCCCGUGUAAAGCUCUUUCGACGAGUCGAGUUGUUUGGGAAUGCAGCUCAAAAUGGGUGGUAAAUUUCAUCUAAAGCUAAAUAUGGGCCAGAGACCGAUAGCGCACAAGUAGAGUGAUCGAAAGAUGAAAAGCACUUUGGAAAGAGAGUUAAACAGUACGUGAAAUUGUUGAAAGGGAAGCGCUUGUACCCAGACUUGGGCGCUGCUGAUCAUCCAGAGUUCUCUCUGGUGCACUCGACAGCGCACAGGCCAGCAUCGGUUCGGGUGGCUGGAGAAAGACCGGAGGAACGUAGCUCCCUUUCGGGGGAGUGUUUAUAGCCUCUGGUGCCAUGCAGCCCAGCCGGACCGAGGACCGCGCCUUCGGGCUAGGAUGCUGGCGUAAUGGGUGUAAGCGACCCG
rnacentral:rRNA from 1 species